GACGAACGCUGGCGGCGUGCUUAACACAUGCAAGUCGAACGGAAAGGCCCUGCUUUUGUGGGGUGCUCGAGUGGCGAACGGGUGAGUAACACGUGAGUAACCUGCCCUUGACUUUGGGAUAACUUCAGGAAACUGGGGCUAAUACCGGAUAGGAGCUCCUGCUGCAUGGUGGGGGUUGGAAAGUUUCGGCGGUUGGGGAUGGACUCGCGGCUUAUCAGCUUGUUGGUGGGGUAGUGGCUUACCAAGGCUUUGACGGGUAGCCGGCCUGAGAGGGUGACCGGCCACAAGGGGACUGAGAUACGGCGCAGACUCCUACGGGAGGCAGCAGUGGGGAAUAUUGCACAAUGGGCGGAAGCCUGAGGAAGCAACGCCGCGUGCGGGAUGACGGCCUUCGGGUUGUAAACCGCUUUCGCCUGUGACGAAGCGUGAGUGACGGUAAUGGGUAAAGAAGCACCGGCUAACUACGUG
rnacentral:rRNA from 1 species